CCUACGGGAGGCAGCAGUGAGGAAUAUUGGUCAAUGGACGAGAGUCUGAACCAGCCAAGUAGCGUGAAGGAUGACUGCCCUAUGGGUUGUAAACUUCUUUUAUAUGGGAAUAAAAUGUUCCACGUGUGGGAUUUUGUAUGUACCAUAUGAAUAAGGAUCGGCUAACUCCGUGCCAGCAGCCGCGGUAAUACGGAGGAUCCGAGCGUUAUCCGGAUUUAUUGGGUUUAAAGGGAGCGUAGGUGGAUUGUUAAGUCAGUUGUGAACGUUUGCGGCUCAACCGGAAAAUUGCAGUUGAAACUGGCAUUCUUGAGUACAGGAGAGGUGGGCGGAAUGCGUGGUGUAGCGGUGAAAUGCUUAGAUAUCACGAAGAACUCCGAUUGCGAAGGCAGUUCACUGGACUUCAACUGACACUGAGGCUCGAAAGUGUGGGUAUCAAACAGGAUUAGAUACCCCGGUAGUC
rnacentral:rRNA from 1 species